UUCAGCAGUGCUGGCCACAAAGGAGGGAGCAGAAGCACAAGGCCAGAGCCUCCCCAUCCCAUCUGGGUCACCUCUUCCUCCAGCAUCCCACAGCAAGGCGGUGAAGGGAACCAGUCCAGGCCUUGUGCAAAGGCAGCUGGGCCAAACCACAAAACCUGGAGAGAUCCACAGAGCACCAGUCCCUGCCACCCACCUAAAAGGGACAAAGGGGAAGUCGGCAAAGGACAGCAAGCAUUGGAUCAGAGGAGUCAACCCAGGCAUAUGCUCAGGACAACCCCAGUGUCCUUUACAGUAACAACAAAACCCAGCCCAGGGCCACACACCUGGGAUUGGAGCUGUCACAUCUGCUUAGUCACCAGACGCCCUGAACAAGGUCCUCCAACAGAACUGCCUGGAU